AUGUCCGAGAUGGCACCUGAUUCAGAGGUGUUCGCGUCUGAUUGCCUCUAUGUGCCAGUACUGCUCGUUGAGCCAACUCCUGCUACCGCUGCACUCAAGGUAGCAGCAACAAAGGCAAAGAAGGAUGGUAGGUCGAACAACAUGAAGUGGCAGUCGUUCAUGUCCAUGUUUGUGUUGAACAAGAUGUGUGAGCUCAUCUCUAGUGGAGUUAGGACUGACAAGGGCUUCAAGGAGGUGCACUUGAACACCGUUGCGAAGCAAGUUUUCGAGUUCUGUGGGCAGGAGGUGUCUGCCACCCAGGUGUACAACCACCUGAGGAAGUGGAGAGGUCGAUGGAUCCAGGUGUCCAAGCUAAGAGACCUUAGUGGCGCCUCAUGGGAUGAGAACACUUGCUCCAUAGUUCUGGAGGCAGAGCACUACACCAUCCAUGUCCUAGGGUGGCUUCAGCGACGAGGCGCUCAUGGUAGCUCUCAGCCACCUGCUUGA
rnacentral:rRNA from 1 species